rnacentral:rRNA from 1 species
CAGUCGCCGCGGGAAUACGAAGGGUGCAAGCGUUACUCGGAAUUACUGGGCGUAAAGCGUGCGUAGGUGGUGGUUUAAGUCCGUUGUGAAAGCCCUGGGCUCAACCUGGGAAUUGCAGUGGAUACUGGGUCACUAGAGUGUGGUAGAGGAUAGUGGAAUUUCCGGUGUAGCAGUGAAAUGCGUAGAGAUCGGAAGGAACAUCUGUGGCGAAGGCGACUAUCUGGGCCAACACUGACACUGAGGCACGAAAGCGUGGGGAGCAAACAGGAUUAGAUACCCCAGUAGUCCCUGUCUCUUAUCC